rnacentral:misc_RNA from 1 species
GAAACGCGAAAGGUAAUGCGAACUGCAGAAUCAGUGAGUCAUCGAAUCUUUGAACGCACAUUGCGCCUCUCGGUAUUCCGGGAGGCACGCCUGUUCGAGCGCCAUUACAAACUCCAAGCGUGGCUUGAUGUUGGGCGAUGUCUUUUUGCGAGAGCGGAGACACGCCUGGAACGCGUUGGCGCCGCCGCCGGACCACGAGCGUAGCAAGACGAGAGUCAAUCGCAUCGAUUUGGAUUCCGACGGAGGUCCGCCAUGGGACUGCACUUUCGAGUGUAAGUUCACAACUUCUCUCAAGUUUGGCCUCGGAUCAGGCGGGGAUACCCGCUGAACUUAAGC